rnacentral:rRNA from 1 species
GGGUGAGUAACACGUGGGCAACCUGCCCAAAAGAGGGGGAUAACACUUGGAAACAGGUGCUAAUACCGCAUAACCAUAGUUACCGCAUGGUAACUAUGUAAAAGGUGGCUAUGCUACCGCUUUUGGAUGGGCCCGCGGCGCAUUAGCUAGUUGGUGGGGUAAAGGCUUACCAAGGCAAUGAUGCGUAGCCGAACUGAGAGGUUGAUCGGCCACAUUGGGACUGAGACACGGCCCAAACUCCUACGGGAGGCAGCAGUAGGGAAUCUUCCACAAUGGGCGAAAGCCUGAUGGAGCAACGCCGCGUGGGUGAAGAAGGUCUUCGGAUCGUAAAACCCUGUUGUUAGAGAAGAAAGUGCGUGAGAGUAACUGUUCACGUUUCGACGGUAUCUAACCAGAAAGCCACGGCUAACUACGUGCCAGCAGCCGCGGUAAUACGUAGGUGGCAAGCGUUAUCCGGAUUUAUUGGGCGUAAAGGGAACGCAGGCGGUCUUUUAAGUCUGAUGUGAAAGCCUUCGGCUUAACCGGAGUAAUGCAUUGGAAACUGGGAGACUUGAGUGCAGAAGAGGAGAGUGGAACUCCAUGUGUAGCGGUGAAAUGCGUAGAUAUAUGGAAGAACACCAGUGGCGAAAGCGGCUCUCUGGUCUGUAACUGACGCUGAGGUUCGAAAGCGUGGGUAGCAAACAGGAUUAGAUACCCUGGUAGUCCACGCCGUAAACGAU